UGUGUGCGUGUGGAUGUGGGGGUGUGUGUGAGUCUGUGUGUGGGUGUGUGUGCGUGUGUGUGUGUGUGUAUGAGUCUGUGUGUGUGUGUGUGCGCUUGUGUGUGUUUGUCUGUGUGUGCGUGUGUGCGCUUGUGUGUGUUUGCGUGUGUGCUUGCUUCCUCAGCAUACUCUACACGCACUCAAGCCGUACUCAUGAAGCCGCUCUGAUUUGUGUGGGAAAUUGAGGUUUCCAGGGUUACACAGUUCUGUUCUUUCUUGAUUGGUUUGUGCAGAUAUGGGGAAGGGGGCUGGUACAGAUAUAAUGUAAAGGGCCAGGAUGUACACGCACGCUGCUGAUUGGUUUGUGCAGAUAUGGGGAAGGGGGCUGGUACAGAUAUAAUGUAAAGAGGCUGGAUGUACACGCACGCUGCUGAUUGGUUAGUGCAGAUAUGGGGAAGGGGGCUGGUACAGAUAUAAUGGGGCUGGAUGUACACGCACGCUGCUGAUUGGUUUGUGCAGAUAUGGGGAAGGGGGCUGGUACAGAUAUAAUGUAAAGGGGCAGGAUGCACGCUGCUGAUUGGUUAAAAGCGCUGGGUGGAAUGUGUUCUCUGACUCUGAGGCAGCGGUGGUGGUGUUGGGUUACUAUCAGUCUGCCAUCAGGUGACUAUAAAGCAGCAGAACCUCCUCUCACACGCCGCACACUGAAGCAGCAGAACCUCCUCUCACACGCCGCACACUGAAGCAGCAGAACCUCCUCUCACACGCCGCACACUGAAGCAGCAGAUCCUCCUCUCACACGCCGCACACUGAAGCAGCAGAACCUCCUCUCACACACCGCACACUGAAGCAGCAGAACCUCCUCUCACACGCCGCACACUGAAGCAGCAGAACCUCCUCUCACACACCGCACACUGAAGCAGCAGAACCUCCUCUCACACGCCGCACACUGAAGCAGCAGAACCUCCUCUCACACGCCGCACACUGAAGCAGCAGAACCUCCUCUCACACGCCGCACACUGAAGCAGCAGAACCUCCUCUCACACGCCGCACACUGAAGCAGCAGAACCUCCUCUCACACGCCGCACACUGAAGCAGCAGAUCCUCCUUUCACACACCGCACACUGAAGCAGCAGAACCUCCUCUCACACACCGCACACUGAAGCAGCAGAACCUCCUCUCACACGCCGCACACUGAAGCACCAGAACCUCCUCUCACACGCCGCACACUGAAGCAGCAGAACCUCCUCUCACACGCCGCACACUGAAGCAGUAGAACCUCCUCUCACACGCCGCACACUGAAGCAGCAGGCGGGCUUUAUUACAUGCCCCCCCCCCCCCGGUAAGGGGACCCUGAAAAGCAGCCCAGCGCCUAACGCUGACCGGAAUGUGUGAGCUGACCGCUAGGUGUGAAGUGUUCUGGGAAGUGCAAUCUCAGAUUCUCCUCAGCGCCGGAGUGCGCUCGGUUCGACAGAGUCGCGUUCAUUAAAGCGCGUGCACACCGUAAACACACUCGCAGUACUUCCACGGGGUUCACCGUCCAUCGGAUGAGAGGGGCAGUCCCUUUGUGUCUGACUCCGGUCUCUUAAUGUAAGCACGUCUUUGGGUAACGUUUUUGCUUAUUGAAUUGUAGUCUGGUUCUGCGGGAAGUUUUCUUUUUUAUACACAACAAAAUGGAGGCCGUGCGCUGGUAUGCAAUGCUAGUUGACUGGUCAUACCGCCCGUUUUUACUGUGUGCCUCAUAACCGACCACACCCGGGUAUAUCGGCACAAACGAGUUCCGUUAUUUCAAGCUUCCACCGGCGGAACGAUGCGAGAGGCUGCAAAAACGUCUGGGGAGACGGAGAAAACAUUUCUGUGGCAAAAGAGACUGUGCUUUACGGGUUACUGUUUCAGUUAGGGGGGAAAAAGGAAAGAAAGAAAAGUGUGAUUUAAAAGGGUCACAGAAGUAGAUAUGGGUCUGGGCAGCACACGGUGGUUUGGAAUGGCUCAGUGAGGCCUUAACUGCAUCAUUUAUGGCCCUCUUUCUCUUCAGACGCCCCCCCCCGCCCCCCCCUUUGGGCUCCCGGAGGUUCACUGCCAGUUUAGAAAGACAGUUUGGCUUCACUUCCCCCUCUAAGCUGUUUGAGAACUUCAGAUGGUCAACAAAAAAAUAAUUUUUGUUUUCUGAAAGUAAUUGAAGAAAUGAAAAUGCGCUUCUUAACGAGAGCGUGAGGGCGGAGGUAGCCGGGGGCAACGGGGCCUGCAGCGGCUCUGCCUUUGAGAACGCCCCCACCGCGCCCUUGCAGAAGGACCCAGGAGAUCGACUGUCCCCCCAGCCUAAUCUGCAGUCUCUUCCCUGGGGGGUUCUUUUUAUAUGCUCCCUCCCCUUAAUGAGCCAUGGAGGGUAGGCAUAAUGGUAAAGGACAGAAGUGGUGUUGAACAGAUAUUGCGUUGGGACAAGUUUAACGGCAUACUAUGCAGGAUGAUUUUUAACCUUGAAAAGAUCAUAAAAUAACCAUCCUAAGGCACAUCUGUGUUGUUUUGGCAAUCUCUGUCUUUACGCACUUUCACCAAGUUCAUUCACCUGUUGAUCCUGUGAGUAACAUUUCCUCUAGCCAUCCAGCUAAGCCUCCAGAGAUUUUUUGACCGAAAUGUCAGGUUUUCAAAUUACAUUUGAAAACACUUCCGGCUUGUGGUCCUGACUGAACGAUGUAAUGUCGGCCUGAGUGAUUGUUGGGAGAAAUUUACCAGUAGUUUCAAAUUAAUUAGCCGUUCUGUGACUCAGUCGGGUUGCUCAGGGAUGAAGUUGGUCGAAGAUGGAGGAGGAGACUUGUUUGAUUGUGAACUCAGGACCACAGCAAGGCUAAAGAAGCCUGCAUAGUAUGCCUUUAAGCUGUUUGCUCACGGUCACUCUAGAAAGGUGAGCCCGGUGUUGGUGUAAAAAGGGCUCUCUGCUAAGCACAGGACAGGGUGACAUGUUGGUGAUGGAUCACUCCUGAAGGUUUUUAUUUCAAAUUCAAUUUCAAGGUGUUUUAUUGGCAUGAUGUGCACUGAGUUACAAAGAACAACAGUAAUAGCAAAAAAUAGAUAAAUAAAUUAAAAAAUGUAAAAAUAAAAUAAAAU